rnacentral:rRNA from 1 species
GACGAACGCUGGCGGCGUGCUUAACACAUGCAAGUCGAACGAUGAAGCCCUUUCGGGGGGUGGAUCAGUGGCGAACGGGUGAGUAACACGUGGGUAACCUGCCCUGUACCCUGGGAUAAGCCUUGGAAACGAGGUCUAAUACCGGAUAUGACCUGCUCUCGCAUGGGGGGUGGGUGGAAAGUUUUGGCGGUGCAGGAUGGACCCGCGGCCUAUCAGCUUGUUGGGUGGGGUGAUGGCCUACCAAGGCGACGACGGGUAGCCGGCCUGAGAGGGCGACCGGCCACACUGGGACUGAGACACGGCCCAGACUCCUACGGGAGGCAGCAGUGGGGAAUAUUGCACAAUGGGCGAAAGCCUGAUGCAGCGACGCCGCGUGAGGGAUGAC